rnacentral:rRNA from 1 species
GGCGGACGGGUGAGUAAUACUUAGGAAUCUGCCCAUUAGUGGGGGACAACUCGGGGAAACUCGAGCUAAUACCGCAUACGCCCUACGGGGGAAAGCGGGGGAUCUUCGGACCUCGCGCUAAUGGAUGAGCCUAAGUCGGAUUAGCUUGUUGGUGAGGUAAAGGCUCACCAAGGCGACGAUCCGUAGCUGGUCUGAGAGGACGAUCAGCCACACUGGGACUGAGACACGGCCCAG